GCUCUGUUCGACUAGCGGCUAGGUCGUUGCCCUUUCAAGGCAGAGAGACGGGUUCGAUUCCCGUACAGAGCGCCA
rnacentral:tRNA from 1 species